GAACCGCUGGUGCAUGACAACGGGAGUCGCCCCUGCCCGCGGUGUGCAGGCCCGGUUCGGCCGGGACGCCUGAAGCGGGUAUCGCGACGCCCCCCUGGUUCCUUCCGGGGUUC
rnacentral:sRNA from 1 species